AUGAGAACUUGUUCUCAACUAGCCUACCUGGUUAAAUAAAGGUGAAAUAAAAAUAAACAUUUUCCCUAUAUCCAUGUAGUACAUGAGGACACAGUGCGAUGCACAGUGCUUGCUUUGUAAGUAAGCAAGGUGUGAAUCUAUCUUGUGAUUAAACAGACUUAUUGUAGGUUAUUUGACUGAUUUACAGAUCAUGGACUAUUUUUCUGUUUUAUAUUAGGAUACUUUUUUAAUAGAUUUAAAUGUUUCCAUAUCUCAGUGUCUUUAGAGUAUCCUGUGAGGCAGAUCAACGUGCCCUAUGGUCAGGAGGAGAGCAGCAGCUUGAAGGUUUUGGGGGAAACAUUUCCCCCAGAUGAAUCCAAAUGUAGAGGCCUUUAAGACGGGCAGGAGGAGGAGACUUGUUCCCCUACAAAAAAAAGAGUUGUUGUCAAGACAAUGGAGGAUAGAGAUGGUGUGGUUGAAUUGGUGGCUCAACAAUUUGUCCAAGGGAGCAUGCAGGUGGUCUUGGAGCAGUUCAAAUAUGGUCCCAACUCUCUUGGGCUGCUCAAAGCAUUGGGGAACCACCCGGACAGCCUCCGAGCACUUUUUGUGGGGACCUGCGGGAUCUGUUUAAAAUAACCUGUUCCAUGCCUGGCGGCAACCGGCGGUGUUUGGAGAACGACACCGUCUGCCACUGGUUCAACUGGCUGGCUGAGGUGGAAGAUGGAGAAUGUCCUCCUCUAACAGUGGCGAUGGUGUUGGAGUUUGCUACUGGGGCAACGGUGAUGCCACCCCUUGGGUUUGAGGACACCCCGACCAUCGAAUUCCUCACACACAGCGCGAGGGAGUCUCGCUAGGCAGUAGAAGAAAAAGUACCCAGUGGCAAACACGUGUGCUGUGACACUAAGGCUCCCUCUUCAUAGCACCUACAAUGCCUUUAGGGAAUUCAUGACCUCCGGUAUUGUGAAUUCCCCACAUUUCGGUGUUGCAUAAAAACAUUUUUACGACACAUAAUUGUAUCUAGUAGCACUAAACUACAGUAGCAAUUGAGUGUCUGAAAAUGUAACAGCACAUCGACAUUUAAGCAUUUAUCUACUUGUUUGUAUGGUAUUCAGACCUCUUGCCUUUUUAUUACGUUACAGCCUUAUUAAAAAACGGAUAAAAUUUUCCCCCUCAUCAAUCUACACACAAUACCCCAUA